rnacentral:rRNA from 1 species
CCAAUAGCGUAUAUUAAAGUUGUUGCAGUUAAAAAGCUCGUAGUUGAAUUUCGGGGUCAGUAGGUCGGUCGUGCCACUGGUAUGAACUGGUUUUACUGAUUCCUCCCUCUUGAAGAACUGUAAUGCCAUUAAUUUGGCGUUGCAGGGAAUCAGGACUGUUACUUUGAAAAAAUUAGAGUGUUUAAAGCAGGCUUUAGCUUGAAUACAUUAGCAGGGAAUAAUGAAAUAGGACGUUUGAUCCUAUUUUGUUGGUUUCUAGGAUUGACGUAAUGAUUAAUAGGGAUAGUUGGGGGCAUUAGUGUUCAAUUGUCAGAGGUGAAAUUCUUGGAUUUAUUGAAGACUAACUACUGCGAAAGCAUUUGCCAAGGAUGUUUUCAUUAAUCAAGAACGAAAGUUAGGGGAUCGAAGACGAUCAGAUACCGUCGUAGUCUUAACCAUAAACUAUGCCGACUAGGGAUCGGAUGAUGUUAAUUUUUUAAUGACUCAUUCGGCGCCUUACG